CAUGUUUGAAGCCCACAUAUAGUGGAAUACAAAUGUGCUGAGAAAAGGACUUUUCUGAAUCUCGCAAUUUUGGUGGUGUAUUAACCUGCAACAUUAUGUUUGCUCUUAAGGCUGUUUCUACUUCUGUUUAGAAGGCAACCCAGCUGAGAGAUAGAGUUUCAGUGACAGGAAGAGUGUGAUGUGAAUAAUGUCGUGUGUAUGCAUACAUGUUACAGUUCUGUUUCAUGCCUUACUAAAUUCAUCACCCUAAUGAUAAAGAGCACGUAAGAGAUCCUUAAGAAAAUGCUGUUCAUUGUCCAUGACGGAAGAGGGACUUCCACCUACGUGCUGCUACAUCCUUAUCUUCCCGACGUACGCUCACCAACUUCGCAAACUUAGCAGCUUCACUGCUUCAGUGCUUCUUAUGCUGUAAAAAAAAUUUUCUUGCUUCACUGACGAGGCUGGAUCACUGCAGUUGCAGUGACACACCUGUAAUCACUCACCACGGGAUUAUGGCCAGGUAAUGCUGAGGAAACGUCGAGAAGAUGGACUCAAAAACGUCGCCGGUAUCUCCAAAAUGUCAGCGCGGAUCAUCAUUUGUUGUUGUUAAUAUGUUUGUGUUAAUGUUAGUUAACCCGUUGGCUGCCACGCCUUUGUUCUCCCCUAGCUCUUAGCACAGGCCGCGCUGUUCGAUCUCGUGGUUUACAAGCCGCGGGGUCGGAGAGUCGCCAAGCCCAAAAUCUGCCACAAGGCGCCUUUUAUAAGGCAAUGCACCAUAGUCCCCCCCCCCCCCCCCCUUGUCGAUACGUUGAUGGAUUUUCUCCUGUCACCGUGU
rnacentral:lncRNA from 1 species